rnacentral:rRNA from 1 species
AGAUUGAACGCUGGCGGCAUGGUUAAAACAUGCAAGUCGAACGCUGCUGGAGCAAUCCAGCGGAGUGGCGAAAGGGCGAGUAAUGCGUUUCUAACGUACCCCAAGGUCGAGGACAGCCCAGGGAAACUUGGAUUAAUACUCGAUGAUCCCGUAGCGUCGUAUGACGCGUCGGGCAAAGGCUUGCUGCCUUGGGGAGCGGGAAACGUCCGUAUCGAGGUAGUUGGUGAGGUAACGGCUCGACCAAGGCCGGA